rnacentral:rRNA from 1 species
UGAGGAACAUGACUUUCGGCGGGGGAUAGCCGGCCCAACGGCCGGGUAAUACCGCGUACGACCUUUUGGGGACAUCCCUGAUUGGUGAAAGCAGCAAUGCGCCGAAAGAGUGCCUCGCGGCCUAUCAGCUAGUUGGUGGGGUAAUGGCUCACCAAGGCAACGACGGGUAGCUGGUCUGAGAGGAUGGCCAGCCACAUUGGGACUGAGACACGGCCCAGACCUCCGUACGGGAGG